GGGAAUGCAGCUCUAAAUGGGUGGUAAAUUUCAUAGUAAAGCUAAAUAUUGGCCGGAGACCGAUAGCGCACAAGUAGAGUGAUCGAAAGAUGAAAAGCACUCUGAAAAGAGAGUUAAACAGCACGUGAAAUUGUUGAAAGGGAAGCGCUUGCGACCAGACUCGCCCGCGGGGUUCAGCCGGCAUUCGUGCCGGUGUACUUCCCCGCGGGCGGGCCAGCGUCGGUUUGGGCGGCCGGUCAAAGGCCCCCGGAAUGUAACGCCUCUCGGGGCGUCUUAUAGCCGGGGGUGCAAUGCGGCCUGCCUGGACCGAGGAACGCGCUUCGGCACGGACGCUGGCGUAAUGGUCGUAAGCGACCCGUCUUGAAACACGGACCAAGGAGUCUAACAUCUACGCGAGUGUUCGGGUGUCAAACCCGUGCGCGCAGUGAAAGCGAACGGAGGUGGGAACCCCCCGGGGUGCACCAUCGACCGAUCCUGAUGUCUUCGGAUGGAUUUGAGUAGGAGCGUAGCUGUUGGGACCCGAAAGAUGGUGAACUAUGCCUGAAUAGGGUGAAGCCAGAGGAAACUCUGGUGGAGGCUCGCAGCGGUUCUGACGUGCAAAUCGAUCGUCAAAUUUGGGUAUAGGGGCGAAAGACUAAUCGAUCCAUC
rnacentral:misc_RNA from 1 species